rnacentral:rRNA from 8 species
UCUGGCGGCUGUAGCGCGGUGGUCCCACCUGACCCCAUGCCGAACUCAGAAGUGAAACGCCGUAGCGCCGAUGGUAGUGUGGGGUCUCCCCAUGUGAGAGUAGGGAACUGCCAGAC